ensembl:snoRNA
AUCAUUUUGUACUUCUGAAGCAUGAUGACGGUUUUCACACUGGUGUGGGACACGCCUCCGUCAAACCUGGUUACACGGGCACAUUACCAUCUGAUG